CAGUCGCCACGGUAAUACGAGGGUGGCAAGCGUUGUUCGGAAUUAUUGGGCGUAAAGGGUGCGUAGGCGGCUUGACAAGUCUUGUGUGAAAUCUAUGGGCUCAACCCAUAGUCUGCACGGGAAACUGUCGGGCUUGAGAAUGGGAGAGGUGAGUGGAAUUUCCGGUGUAGCGGUGAAAUGCGUAGAUAUCGGAAGGAACACCUGUGGCGAAAGCGGCUCACUGGACCAUAACUGACGCUGAGGCGCGAAAGCUAGGGGAGCAAACAGGAUUAGAUACCCCCGUAGUCCCUGUCUCUUAUAC
rnacentral:rRNA from 1 species